CAGAAAUGGAAUAACCUUUAAUCCUGUAGUGAUAUAGAUAUUUAAAUUGGUGGUGGAAUAUUCUACUUUCAUUGGGCCAAUUGAAAUUGCUCGUUUUAGAUAGAACAUAAUGAUUAUUAGCAUACCACAUUAAACAGGAGGACUGCACCAGGGACACAGGAUUUUGUGCUGGGAAUAACACAUUUGUGACUUUAAAAUAUCCAUUAAAAUGCUAUUUUACAAAAAAAUAAUGAUACUGUAUGACAUACAGUAUCAUUAUUUUUUUUAUAAUGAUGGAUGAAUCUCAGUGCCCUGACACCCCUUUAAAAAUGUGCCAAAUGGUUCAGCCCACACACCGGUGUUCAGCACCGCGCGCUUCAACUCAACAGGGACUUUGAUGAGGCCUAGGCUCUGGCUCCGUUCAGACUCCGCAAACAUGAGCCGGACAGCAGCAGCAGCGGUGGAGGAGGAGGAGUCUCCCGGAGCGAGGCUACGCGCCCUGCUGACCGAGCGCCAUGCUGCCUUUGUGCUGGAAAUGUGGACGCUGUUCGAGAGCACCGUGACGCAGCUGGAGGACCAAGUACGCGCGCUACGAGCGGAGAAAGAGCAACAGCAACGCGAGGUUUCAGCUUCAGCCCUCCACUGCCAGGGACCUGUGGAUGGAGGCGAGUCACGUGAGGAGCUGACUGUGGAGGCCCCGGAGUGUGGAGGUCUGCAGACAGAUGCUGAAAAGGGACCGGAGGGUGGAGAUCUGCUGCCACACACUGAAGACAGACCUGAGUGUGGAAGUUUACCAACAGAGGACACUGCGUGUGGAGGUCUGCGGACUCAGGAAACUCAGUGUGAAGCUCUGAAGACAGACAUUAAAGAGGAACCCGAGUGUGGAGAUCUGCAGACAGACGUUAAAGAUGAACCCGAGUGUGGAGAUCUGCAGACAGACGUUAAAGAGGAACCCGAGUGUGGAGAUCUGCAGACAGACACUGAUGAGGGACCUUCGUGGAGAGGUCUGCAGACAGAGGGACCCGAGUGUGGAGAUCUUUCUGAAACUGAGAGACGAUGGAUGACGGUGAUGAGGCCAAUGAUCGUGCUGUGGAGAUGUGAUGCAAAACCUGCUGAAGACCCGAACUCUUCGGAGCUCACGGAAAACUCCUCUGACUCUGAAGAUGAGGAGGACCAUCUCCGGCAGAAAAGAUAUCCCAAAAAAUGCCUCAAAAAAUCCACCGGAAUCAGACAAGGAACAGAUUGGAGCCCGAACACGGAGGCGGCAAGCGAUGCGGAGAUCCACCUGGAAGAAUUACUGCUGGAAGUGACUGUCCUCACAGACUCCGGAGACGAGGAGGGAGCGGCUUGUGAAAAGAACUCUCAGACUAAGACCCGUGCUUUGGAGGAUCUGGACGUAAACGUGGCGGAUGAAGAUCUUUUUUGUGACGAGAAACGUGAAAACAUCAAGCAAAGGAAGACUUCGGGACGGAAGGUUUCUCGAAAGACUAAAGAUCCACAACAUUGCCAACUAAAGAAGGAAUACGAUUGUUCUCUGUGCAAAUCGAUGUUUCCAAAUCUGCUCUUGGACUUGACAAACAGGCGCACUCCACUGAACGGCCUUUCGAUUGCAAGCUGUUCAAGCACAAGCCCAACAUGUACAGGCACAUGAAAAUCCACAGGAGAAAGGCUCUCCCCUGUGGCGCGGAGGUGGCCGGCACUUCGCCAUCUGUGCAGUCCGCCAGUCCUGAAGACGCCAAAAGCCCGAUACCUGGUGAUAUUGGAGGCCAGGCGAGCUGCUCUGUGCACUUGGAGGUUAGUUCAAAACCCUGUUCGAAGACACAAAAAGAGAAGAGCGAGAAAGAGGGGCACACAAGUGAGAACAAGUGCGAGCUGUGCCUGAAAACGUUCUCAUCCAACCUAAAGCUGAAGAAACACACGUCCUCGCACAAAAUAAAUGGAAAGCUCCAUUGCCCGCGUGUCCAAAGACGUUCAGUUACUACAGUGAAUUAAUAAGACAUGUGGUGUGUCACAAAACUCAUCCCUCUGUGUCACAAAAGCAGCGCUGCUCUUUGUGCCAGAUGGAGUUUUCAUUAAUGCGCAAUUUCUGCAAACAACCCUUCAGUUGUCCAGUUUGUGGAAAGCUUUUCACGGAAAAAAGAGGCCUGGCCAACCACGUAGUGAAAUUGCAUCAAAGAGAGAGCAAACCGAACAGUUGUAAUGUGUAGUUAUGAAUGACUUUUGUUCCUGAGAAAUAUCUUUUACUCGAUUUCAUCAUUUGUUUGUGUUUGGGUUAGAAUACGGUAUCGACUCUUGACUCUUCACAAGACCCAAUUACCUGGCUGGAUAUCUUUCAAUAUUUUUUCCCUUAUAAUGUUUUAGAGCCUGUUAAGUCCUGAUUCAGACCUGGACGAUGGUCUAAAGAUGGUUUACAAUGAUUUGACUAGGGCUGAACGAUAUGGACAACAUUUCUUAUCUCGAUAUUCAUCCCAGAUAUCUCUAUCGAUAUGAUUUGAUAUAACUUUGGGUUAGGUGAAAACUAAGCAUUUUUCAGAAAAAUAAAAUCAUAAUACAAAAGAGUGCAGUUUUAUUGAUGAAAAAUCUAUAUCGUUUAUAUCUUGCUUUUUCAAUUUUAAUAUUUUGAAUGUUCAUAUCUCGAUAUCGAUACGAUAACGAUAUAUCUUUCAGCUAUAAUUUAGACCAGGUCCUAGUUCUGCUGACCUGGUGUACCCUAGGUUAGGGGACUAUCUCAUUUUGUCCUGAUUUUGAUUUUACCAAGUAACUUGUUUACCUUAAUAAAUCCUUUUCGUAGUCCCUCUGGGAGUAAUACAAGUGUUAAUGGGAUGAUUGGGGGUCUUUCAUUCCCCUCUGGCUAGAAAACCACAAUUGCAACUUGCAACAAUAGAAUCAUGGAGAAGAAAUUAACAGGCUAACGGGCAAAGCUAACUGCGGGCUAGCGCCACUUAAACAGUAUUUACAGCCAAGUUUGAGUGAAAAAAAUUAUCUCCAUUGUGUAAUUGGAUGUACAAUAUCCCUCUCUCCCUUUGUCUUUUCUGUCAGCGUAGUAUUUACUCUCAAGGACAAUUAAUGAGUAAAAACGCCACGACACCUGCAGUGACGCUUAUGGCCUCUAGGGGCACGAGUUACUUGGUACUAGAGCCCUGCAUUUGAGCCCGAGGCCCGAGGGGCCCGAAGGCCCGCGGGCCGGGCUUCGGGCCCAUUACCACAUCAUUGCGUC
rnacentral:lncRNA from 1 species